AUAAUAAACAGCAUCGUUUUGAUGCAGGCAGGGCUGCCGGCUCCCCAAGCCUCCUCCCUGCGAUAACAACCCAGGUCUCAAGCUCUCCAUCGCUUACCCCCUGCAGGCGUGAAUCAUCUUCAGAACUGGCAACAUCGCUACUUUCAUUGGGUGUCUCAACAGCUUCUUUCUCUAUCUUAAUGGGCAUACUGGACUUACGAGACUUCUUCUUGGGGAGCAUGUCAAAUGGCAAUUCAUUGGAAACAAGCUGCUCUGGUAUGGAGGAUGAAACAAGAGGCAGAGAAGGAAGAGUACCUGGAGUAUUGGCAAGCUCAGCUGGUGUGACUGGACUACGGUAAAAAGGAAGAACGGGCUGUACUGUCUUCAGGUUUGGAAAGAGGACACCAUUAUGUCCAAUACUGGAAAAUCCCACCUGGCCUUUUGAAUCUGUACAAGAGCUGGCAUAGUUGGAAAUAGUUCUGCUAUCCGGAGUUAAAAUUGUGAAUUCUGUCCUUUUACUAUCUCCAGGUCCAGCAAUGGUCAAACCAUUUCUUAGAUCUUUAUCCCUGUUAUUUCUGUUCAUUGGCAUAUGGAGUCUGGGGUUAGGAUUUGCACUAUGUCGAUUUCGACUACGCAAUGAGCUAAACACCAUAUUGCAGCCCUCAAUGGUGCAUUUGUGCUUUAUCUUCAGAUGAACAGCAUUGUAAUGUAUUUUCAAAGUACCUUUAUCGUAAAAUGUUUUUUCACAUGCAGUGCAGAAGACACGCCCUUUCCUUGGCCCAGCAUUCUUUUCAACAGAUUUCAUUUUGUUUUCUGGUGAUAGUGCUGUCAUUUCAAGCUUGGCUGCUGUAUUAUGUGAACUGGAAUCACUUAAAAGGGCAUCAUCUUCUGUUUUAGUGAUAUCUGGACCAUUUAUGCUCCUCUCAUUUUCAACCUGAAAUGGUGCAGAACUAGAAGUUAAGAAACUGUUUUCAGAAAAUGGUAUCUGAAGAUCUUGUUUGGUUUCGUUGCUAUGGUCUUGACCUUGCUCAAUCAAAUGUCUUUCUGGUGGUGAACCUAUCAAAGGUGGAGGCACUGGACUGAAAAACUGAAAUGGCAGCAUGAAAGCCAUACUAUUUACAAUAUUCUCAAAGGGAUGAAUGCUGGUGGGACUCAUUUUGUCCAAGGAAGCAGAAAAAUUAGGACUGUGUGGGUUGCAGCUCUCAAUGAAUGCCCUAAUAUCCAAAUUGGCAGUUGGUGGUGGUAUUAUGAUGGACUGCCCUUCUUUCUCUUGAAUUGCCAUUAGCUCUACAAUGGACUUAGUUUCUCCAAAGCGAAGGAACUGCUGCAAAGUAGCCAGUUCUUCUUCAGUGGUCAUUAUGCUCCAGUGAUCCAACACCUUUCCUGAAGCAUCCUAAAGCAAAAAAUAUUUAAAUGCGUUAGACAUUAGUUAAGGCAAACAAAAAACACUUCCCCUCAAAUCUCUCAUGUUUUUCAGGGACUAAAAUUUAUUCUCUAGCAAAAAAUCAAAAACACUCCAUUUAAUGACAUUAAUGUGAAUUCUGUGAUAAUUUCUUCCAAAUUUUAUCACAUUGGUGAUAUUAUUUCUUCCUGAACUGACAGUAAUAGUUUCCAAUAAACUAUUUUUUUUGCACAAAAAUUAAGACACGUUAUUUGAACAACAGAUAGUAUCCUGUAAGCACAGACAGGAGAGAUGGAGCAAUCAGACCAAGAUUUAGCUCCUCAUUUAAGUCAAGUAUUCUUUCAUUGCAAGUUUAAUAAUCUUCCAAGCAACUAAGAUCAGAGAACAAAUGAACCUAUAUUGAUCUAUUGCCAGUUUUCACAGAGCACAGCUGUAAUUACACUAGUGUUGGAGUUCUUUCAAACUCUAGCUAUGCCUAACUUUUCCCAAUAACUACAAUAAAUAUUUUAUCACAGAACAUGUAUUUGAUGGCCUACUGAGAUUUUUCACAGUGCAUGUAAGAGUUUCUAAGAUGAUGAAGAACGUAACAUUAUAAAUUUUUCAUGUGAUAGAGGUUCAAGGUAAUUGAUUCCAUAUUUUUAAUCCUAACACUAAAAAGCAAGAUUAUCAAGACCAUUAAAUAUUGAUUCAUGUCAUAAUGUAAGAUCAUAAUGUUACUUUACAUAAAAGGUAACUUCCACAGCAGCAAGGACUAACAUCAGUGUAAGCACAUGGGGCCAAAUACACUCUGGCUGCAGCUCCAGUAAGGUCGAUAGCACUACCAGAGAUGAAUAUUGUCCCUGGUGUUUUAAAUAAUGGUAAGUUUAUUUCUUGAUGUAUUAUUCUGCUGUAUAAAAGCAAACUCACUGUUUAAACAAUACUGGAACAAGUUCUAAAGCCUUUACAUUACCAGUAACUUUUGAUCUUUAUUUUUUGCUUACCUUUGUUGUUAGAUUUGAGCAAAUAGAAAGAUUUCAAUUAAGUCCAACUAAGAAAUAAACCAAUCACUAGAAAUCCACCUUUUCUUUUCUGGCAUUAAGCUUGCACAGGUUUAUUACUGCCUUUCACAUGUGCCACACUGUUAACACAUUGUGAACCACUGAGAAGAUUAAGAUAGAAAACUACUUAACUGUCAUAUUUCUAUUUCACAUGCCCCUCUAAAUACCUGUAGCACAUAUCCACGUAUAUAAUCCUGCAGUGUCCAAUCCAGAGCAUGGAGAAUCUGUAUCACCUCUUCCUGCUUCAGAACACUGAAUAGCCGAUCGAGCAGAAUUUUAAGGCGCACGGGAAUGGCUUGGGUUCCGUACAACAUGAGGCUACUGAUAUCAAAGACAACAUUGGAUUGAACUAUUUCUACUUGGCUUGAUGGGUAGAGGUUUGGAAUCCUUAGUUUGCUCAGGGCUGAAAAUAAAAAUCACAAAAUGUAAA